GUUCAUGGGAGGAUCCCCCAGAAGGAGGAGCUAGCCAGAGGGAGACGAGGCUGUCGUUCAAACACAAGGAUCGUUAUAGCAGCAAAAGACAGGAGCAGCCAUGUCAGCUGUUGUCGUGUGAAACGCUACCUUUGUUUCGUCAGUCAUAGCAUGGCUUGUCUCCCUGCUAUUCUCCCCUCCGCAUGAGGCUUCUGUGUCAUUUGAGAGCUGGUGGAAGCUGACAGUGGAGCCCCAGCUCCUGGAGUCCUGUGAAUACAUAGGGAUGCCAGCUUUCAUUUUGAAAAUAAAUUGCAGUGGGUCGAUCAGGGUCAGGUCUCCUGAGCAGCUACAGCAUCAGGAAGAUUAUUACCAAUAUUAUCAGAACGAACGAGAGACCCGAGGAGCACACGAGAAACAACUGCAGUUUCACAAGGUCCUUUAUUAACAAAUCCAUUAAGCAGAUAAACAAUCCUGCGAAGACUGAAAUACAACAGCAGAUACAGAGCUAAUACACAAGGUUUAACCCGCUGA